rnacentral:misc_RNA from 1 species
AAAGUCGUAACAAGGUCUCCAUUGGUGAACCAGCGGAGGGAUCAUUACCGAGUUUACAACUCCCAAACCCCUGUGAACAUACCAUUCUGUUGCCUCGGCGGAUCACCGCGCCCCGUAACACGGGACGGCCCGCCAGAGGACCCAAACUCUAUGUCUUUAUGUGUAUCCUCUGAGUAACACUAUAAAUAAAUCAAAACUUUCAACAACGGAUCUCUUGGUUCUG